UACGUAGGGGGCAAGCGUUGUCCGGAUUUAUUGGGCGUAAAGAGCGUGUAGGCGGCCUGGUAGGUCAGCUGUGAAAACUCGAGGCUCAACCUCGAGACGCCGGUUGAAACCAUCAGGCUAGAGUCCGGAAGAGGUGAGUGGAAUUCCUAGUGUAGAGGUGAAAUGCGCAGAUAUCAGGAGGAACACCGGUGGCGAAGGCGCCACUCUGGGCCGGCACUGACGCUGAGGAGCGAAAGCGUGGGUAGCAAACAGG
rnacentral:rRNA from 1 species